GCCGGGAUGGCGGAAUCGGUAGACGCAGCGGAUUCAAAAUCCGCCGAUGGUAACAUUGUGCGAGUUCGAGUCUCGCUCCCGGCACCA
rnacentral:tRNA from 3 species